rnacentral:rRNA from 1 species
UACGGAGGGUGCGAGCGUUGUCCGGAAUCAUUGGGCGUAAAGGGCGCGUAGGUGGCCCCUCAAGCGGGCGGUGAAAGUCGGGGGCUCAACCCCCGAUCGGCCGUGCGAACUGGGGGGCUGGAGCACUGUAGAGGCAGGCGGAAUUCCGGGUGUAGCGGUGGAAUGCGUAGAGAUCGGGAGGAACAUCAGUGGCGAAGGCGGCCAUCUGGGACAACACUGACGCUGAAGCACGAAAGCGUGGGGAGCAAACAGG